rnacentral:rRNA from 1 species
GUACACUCCUGCGGGAGGCAGCAGUGGGGAAUUUUGGACAAUGGGGGCAACCCUGAUCCAGCAAUGCCGCGUGAGUGAAGAAGGCCUUCGGGUUGUAAAGCUCUUUUGUCAGGGAAGAAACGGUGGUGGCGAAUAACUACUACUAAUGACGGUACCUGAAGAAUAAGCACCGGCUAACUACGUGCCAGCAGCCGCGGUAAUACGUAGGGUGCAAGCGUUAAUCGGAAUUACUGGGCGUAAAGCGUGCGCAGGCGGUUGUGUAAGUCAGAUGUGAAAUCCCCGGGCUCAACCUGGGAAUUGCAUUUGAGACUGCACGGCUAGAGGGUGUCAGAGGGGGGUAGAAUUCCACGUGUAGCAGUGAAAUGCGUAGAUAUGUGGAGGAAUACCGAUGGCGAAGGCAGCCCCCUGGGAUAACACUGACGCUCAUGCACGAAAGCGUGGGGAGCAAACAGGAUUAGAAACCCGUGUAGUCCC